GACGAACGCUGGCGGCGUGCCUAAUACAUGCAAGUUGAGCGCUGAAGGUUGGUACUUGUACCACCUGGAUGAGCAGCGAACGGGUGAGUAACGCGUGGGGAAUCUGCCUUUGAGCGGGGGACAACAUUUGGAAACGAAUGCUAAUACCGCAUAAAAACUUUAAACACAAGUUUUAAGAUUGAAAGAUGCACUUGCAUCACUCAAAGAUGAUCCCGCGUUGUAUUAGCUAGUUGGUUAGGUAAAGGCUCACCAAAGCGAAGAUACAUAAGCGAACCGAGAGGGGGACCGGGCAAAUUGGGACCGGGACACGGCCCAAACUCCUACGGGAGGCAGCAGGAAGGAAUCUUCGGCAAUGGACGAAAGUCUGACCGAGCAACGCCGCGUGAGUGAAGAAGGGUUUCGGAACGGAAAACUCUGGUGGUAGAGGAGAACGUUGGGGGGAGUGGAAAGCGCAUCAAGUGACGGUAACUACUCAGAAAGGGACGGCUAACUACGUG
rnacentral:rRNA from 1 species